rnacentral:rRNA from 1 species
UACGUAGGGUGCAAGCGUUGUCCGGAAUUAUUGGGCGUAAAGAGCUCGUAGGUGGCCUGUCGCGUCGGCUGUGAAAACUCGGGGCUCAACUCCGAGCUUGCAGUCGAUACGGGCAGGCUAGAGUUCGGCAGGGGAGACUGGAAUUCCUGGUGUAGCGGUGAAAUGCGUAGAUAUCGGGAGGAACACCUGUGGCGAAAGCGGCUCACUGGACCAUAACUGACGCUGAUGCACGAAAGCUAGGGGAGCAAACAGG